AACAAAGGGAUGGAGUGGACGAAGCCUUAGUCUGCUUGAUCCAACUUAUGCGAGCAAGUAUAUACCAAUUAUUGCCAGUGUUAGUGAACAUCAGCCACCUACUUGGCCUUCUUACUUUAUGGACAUAAAUGUAUUAGCAUUUUUGGUCCCCGCAGGCAUUAUUGCAUGCUUUUUGCCCCUGACUGAUGCUAGCUCCUUUGUGAUUCUUUAUUUAGUGACUUCAGUGUACUUUUCUGGUGUUAUGGUCCGCCUAAUGCUUGUACUGGCCCCAGCUGCAUGUAUAAUGUCUGGGAUUGCUCUAUCAUCAGCUUUUGGUGUUUUUACUCGAUCAAUCAAAUUUGCAUCAACUGGAAAACAGGCUGAUGCAGGGGAUAAUGGUGAUGGGGUUACACAGAAUGAUGUGGUGAAAUCUGAUAGAAAUGAAGAACUCCCAAAGGAAAAAGCUUCGAGAAAAAAGAAGAAAGAAAAGGAGAAUGUUGAAAAAGUUCCCAUUGCUAAUAAAAAAAGUGAGAAGAGGCUUUUGAUGUUACCCAUGGAGGCUUCUUUUGUUGCUAUUCUAUUACUUGUGUUGCUGGGUGCCUUUUAUGUGGUUCAUUGUGUCUGGG
rnacentral:misc_RNA from 1 species